GAGUUUGAUCCUGGCUCAGGAUGAACGCUGGCGGCGUGCCUAAUACAUGCAAGUCGAACGAAACUUCUUUAUCACCGAGUGCUUGCACUCACCGGUAAAGGGUUGAGUGGCGAACGGGUGAGUAACACGUGGGCAACCUGCCCAAAAGAGGGGGAUAACACUUGGAAACAGGUGCUAAUACCGCAUAACCAUAGUUACCGCAUGGUAGCUAUGUAAAAGGUGGCUAUGCUACCGCUUUUGGAUGGGCCCGCGGCGCAUUAGCUAGUUGGUGGGGUAAAGGCUUACCAAGGCAAUGAUGCGUAGCCGAACUGAGAGGUUGAUCGGCCACAUUGGGACUGAGACACGGCCCAAACUCCUACGGGAGGCAGCAGUAGGGAAUCUUCCACAAUGGGCGAAAGCCUGAUGGAGCAACGCCGCGUGGGUGAAGAAGGUCUUCGGAUCGUAAAACCCUGUUGUUAGAGAAGAAAGUGCGUGAGAGUAACUGUUCACGUUUCGACGGUAUCUAACCAGAAAGCCACGGCUAACUACGUGCCAGCAGCCGCGGUAAUACGUAGGUGGCAAGCGUUAUCCGGAUUUAUUGGGCGUAAAGGGAACGCAGGCGGUCUUUUGAGUCUGAUGUGAAAGCCUUCGGCUUAACCGGAGUAGUGCAUUGGAAAC
rnacentral:rRNA from 1 species